CAAUGACAAGAAGCAUUACAAACACAAUAAACAUAUAGUGGUUCGGUGCACCCCAGCACCUACAUCCACUCCCCAAGACCUCUUGGGAAUUUCACUAUAAUCCUACAGAUUACAGCCGGUUGUUUUACAAGCUCACAACCCAACUUGUUGUUUUACGAGCGCACAACGAACUCGGUCGGUUUUCCCUGGCUCACCGACU
rnacentral:lncRNA from 1 species